rnacentral:misc_RNA from 1 species
AACAAGGCGUACCUGCGGACCUGCGGAGGGAUCAUUACCGAGUUUACAACUCCCAAACCCCUGUGAACAUACCUAUACGUUGCCUCGGCGGAUCAGCCCGCGCCCCGUAAAAAGGGACGGCCCGCCCGAGGACCCCUAAACUCUGUUUUUAGUGGAACUUCUGAGUAAAACAAACAAAUAAAUCAAAACUUUCAACAACGGAUCU